AGAGAAUCCAAGUUCUCUGAAGCCCUGGAUCACAUUAAUAUGCGCCUUCCCCACGCUUGCCUCUCUGGUUCUACAGCAGCAGCCUAUCUUCUGUCUGCUUGGUUUAGGAAGCUCCUUCUUCAGGGUUUCUGAAUUGCUGGCCUUUUGGUGACGUUUGGCGCAACAACCCUCUCUACCUAUAACCCACAUCGCUGACCUCAGAGCUCAAUGAACGUUUCAUUUACAUGCACAGUCAAAUUAAAUUUGCCCAGCC
rnacentral:lncRNA from 1 species